GUGCAUUCUGGGGUCGUUCCGGCUUUUAGUUGCUUGCUAGGCCUUUGUGCUCUGUGGGUGGCUUAUGGUUGGGCGGUCUUCGGGGAUGAUGACCGUAAAGGUGCAUGAGUGGUGUUUGGUUUGUUACGGGUGGUUGGCUGGCUGCUUGCGCAACAACUUCCACCCUGCAUACCUCUUCAUUUGUGUGUCAAGGCUUUUAUCGUCUUAGCGCCUCGUGGGUUUCUUGUGUUGCCUACCUAAGUGAUGGUAUUGUUUUGAUCGAUUAAAGUCCCUUUUCGUCUUGUGUUACACUUGUGGCAUGGGAUGAACCAUGAAGCGAUCUCUAUGAUCCACGCCGUUGAUGCACAUGUGUCGAUGUUGUGGCCCAUUGAGCAUUGCUUGGUCUUCUGGAUACAGAACCUUGUGUGGGCAUGGGGUCUCAUGAGAUUCUUGUUCUGCCCUUGUUUAGCGUUCACGCUUCUCUAAAACGACUGCUCGUCAUGCAUUGGCUCGUACCAGCGUGGUGGGUUAUGUCGAAGAGGAAUGCUACCUGGUUGAUCCUGCCAGUAGUCAUAUGCUUGUCUCAAAGAUUAAGCCAU
rnacentral:misc_RNA from 1 species